UAUUCGAUAAAGAGAAGAAGAAGGCCCGAUCAUCGCUAUUUUCAUCGGAAUGACAGUGAGAACUUAUAAAGCUUAUUUCUAAACCACUCAUAAAUUAAACUGACACAAUUAAACUAUUAAUAGAGGUACUUUAAGCAUCUUUUGCCUAUAGACAAAAUAUGCCUAUCAUCAUGCUCAACCUCAAAAAUUCUUAUGGCUUUGGAGAUACGGG
rnacentral:lncRNA from 1 species